UUCCCUUCCCUUCCAGGGCCCCCUCCUCAGUCCUCCAUCACCACCAUGAGCAUCAUUGCUGGCCUGGUUCUCCUUGGAGCUGUGCUCACUGGAGCUGCAGUGGCUGCAGCUGUGUUGUGGAGGAAGAAGUGCUCAGAAGGACAAGGAGGAAGCUACACUCAGACUGAGGCAGCAGCAGUGCCCAGGGCUCUGACGUGUCUCUCAGCCCCUAAGCAUGUUUUACAGUGAAUCUGAUGAGGCUCCUGUUGUGCACACCGUGGACAGCACCUGUAUUGUGCAGAAUUUGCAUUUUCAGUCUCUCCUAGGUGUGAAGGUAUCACUGUUCUUAACUGUGAUAUUGAGCAUUUGUUCAUAUUUUUACUUUUCUAUGACUACAGUUGCUGUUUGUAUGGAAGUUUUGUACAUUUUUACAGCUGAAGUACUGUUCAUUUAUUACAUUAUUUUUAUCCUUAUUAAAAUUGGGUUCUUUCUUUCUGAUCAUUGAG